CUCGGCUGGCACUACAUGGCACGAAUCACGAAUUUAAAAACGUUCACCUGAUACCGAUUAAAAGCACCAAAGUUAUAAGAGAAGAGACUCCCUUUAGCGACUUACUCCCGAAACAUGUUCAAGACGUGCUGGUUCCUGCCUCUCCUUCUCCUGGCCUCUGGCCAAGAGUCCUGCGAUUUCCUGUGUCCUUACCACAUCGACCCCGUGUGCGGAUCCGACGGCGUGACUUAUCCGAAUCUCUGCGUUCUGGAAUUGGCCGACUGCUUGAGCGAUGAAGACAUUACACUGGCCCACCCGGGAGCCUGCGAGGCCAACGGGGAAGCGUGCGACACGGUCUGUUCCACGAACUACGACCCCGUGUGCGGCUCCGACGGCGCCACGUACCCCAACCUGUGCGAGCUGGAGCGAGCGAGCUGCCUCAGCGAAGAGGACAUCACGGCGGCCUACGAGGGUGAGUGCAAAGACUGCGGUUUCCCUUGCCAGGACAUCUACGACCCCGUGUGCGGCUCCGACGGCGCCACGUACCCCAACCUGUGCGAGCUGGAGCGAGCGAACUGCCUCAGCGAAGAGGACAUCGCGAUGGCAUACCCAGGAGAGUGCAAAGUGACCCCUGGAAACUGUAACCUUGGAUGCCCCGGGAACUAUGACCCUGUGUGUGGGUCAGACGGGGUCACGUAUCCCAACUUGUGUGCCCUAGAGGUAGCUGACUGUCUCAGUGAUGAAGAUAUUACAUUGGCCUACGAAAGUGUGAGUGCAAAGACGCAGCGAAGGACGACUGUGGUUUCCCUUGCCCGGACAACUACGACCCCGUGUGCGGCUCCGACGGCGCCACGUACCCCAACCUGUGCGAGCUGGAGCGAGCGAGCUGCCUCAGCGAAGAGGACAUCACGGCGGCCUACGAGGGUGAGUGCAAAGACUGCGGUUUCCCUUGCCAGGACAUCUACGACCCCGUGUGCGGCUCCGACGGCGCCACGUACCCCAACCUGUGCGAGCUGGAGCGAGCGAACUGCCUCAGCGAAGAGGACAUCGCGAUGGCUCACCCGGGCGAGUGCAGCUCCUGUGACCUUGGCUGCAGCGGCCUGUGGGACCCCGUGUGUGGCACGGACGGCGUGACCUACUCUAACCUGUGUCAACUUGAGAUCGCCAGUUGCCUCGGGGGAGAUGUUAGCCUGGCGCACGAGGGACCCUGCUGACCGGCCGCGGCGACACCACGUCUGGAACCCCCUUCCUCUCUUAAAAAAAAAAAAAAAAAAAAAAAAAAAAAAAAA